GGGCGCUUAGCUCAGUUGGGAGAGCGCUUGCCUUACAAGCAAGAUGUCGGCGGUUCAAGCCCGUCAGCGCCCA
rnacentral:tRNA from 1 species